rnacentral:pre_miRNA from 7 species
CUAGCAACCAGAAAUGAACUUAUUCAUGAAAGUACAGUAGCACACAGUGAGUCUAUAAUUUUAUGUAUACACUGGUCUCUGGAAGCAUGUGUCU